UCUGAAACUCCGAAAUAAUCAAAACAUAAACAUUUUUUGCACUUUGCGAACAAUUUUUGAAAACGGGAACUACUUUUGUAACGCAUGAACAUCUUUUGACAAGUUGUGAAAAUUUUGAACAAAAGAUUUCGCAAUAUUUUUUUAAAAUAAGAACAUUUGUUGAAAGUUCUGAACAUUUCUUUAAAAAGGGACAUUUUUUGAAAUUUCAAACAUUUUCUAAAAGCAAGAAAAAAUUUCGAACAUGAACUUAGUUUAAAAAUCACGAAAUAUUUUUUUACUACUAGGUAUCGGCUGGUCCGGCCAGGAAUAGCACGUCAGCCGGCCCAUCUAAGUCAAUUAGGCUGGCACGAGGCCAGGAGAAGACAGCAGGUGCACCCACACGGCCGCACGCUCUCUCGACGACCUAGCCGCCGGACGGCCGGAGCAGGCGGAGCUCGCCCCCUGCCGAUCGCCGGACGCUGCCACACCGCGCAGACCUCGGCUUCCCGCCGGUUGCCGCCACAUUGUACGAGCUCGCCGCUACCACGGGAUCCAGCACGGGGAGGCGGGCAGCUCGUUGCCCGGCGGCCGUCACCCAGGCCUUUGGAGCUUGCCGGAUCCGCCGCCGGCUGGCCGUCGCCCAUCACCUCCGAGGCUCCCCUGCCUCAGCUGCCUGCGCGCCGAAAUGAAGAGAAAGACUUUGCACAGUCGGUUUGCAAGCAGAAUGUCGCUUGCAUUUUGGUGUGGAGGUGUUCUACAACUACAAUAGCAUUAGCGAGUGAUGCGGGCAACACGGGGCGGCGGCGGCGGCAGCUCGAUGCAGGGAGGCGUGGGCUCCGGUGGGGCUGGGCAUGGAUCUAGCGGAUGGCAGCCGGAUCGAAUCGAUGACGUACGGCUCCGGCGAGUCGGAAGGGCGGCGCCGGCGGCUGAGCUCCUCCAUGGACUGCUGCAGUUCCAGGGAGAGAGAGCUUCGAAGGCCUGCCUUUUCGAUCCCGGGCCCCUUCUUCCGGCCCUCUCGAGCACCGACGCCGUUGUCGUUCCCCUUCUUCUUAGACCCCCGGGACGUCCUGCUGCUGCGGUCUGCACCCCGUCCCGGUCUUCGCCCGGCCACUGGGUCUCCUCCCUCCCUUUGAGGUUUUGAAAGGAAGAAGAUAAGUUGAACCAUGGGGAAGAGGAAGGCGGCCGCUAAGCCACCCACUAGGAAGCCGAUGGACAAGGUUGAUAUGGCCUUUUCCUGCCCAUUCUGCAAUCAUGGGAGCAGCUGAUGGACAAGGUUGAUAUGGCCUUUUCCUGCCCAUUCUGCAAUCAUGGGAGCAGCGUUGAAUGCCGGAUUGAUAUGAAAAACCUGACUGGUGAGGCUAAUUGUCAAAUCUGCCAGGAAAGCUUCAGCACCACUGCAAAUGGAGGCUCUGACGAGUCGGAUGGACGGCGGCGGCAGCUGAGCUUCUCCAUGGCCUGCUGCAGUUCCAGGGAGAGAGCUUUGAAGGUGAGAAGGAGAUAUAGAAGAACAGAAAGAAGGGAGAAGAGGAAGGGCAGGGGUGUGGCGGCCUUGACUGUGAACCUCCGGUUGCGACGGUCUCCGGCGAGAGGCGGCGCAUGGCAUCGACGCGAGCCUACGGGGUGGCGGCAGCGGCGGCCGCUGCGGGAGCUCGGGCGUUUGGAUGCGUUUGGAUCGCAGGCCAAAGGUUAUGCAUAUUAGGUACGUUUUGAAUCACUAUCAAAACCUGUCCAUACAAAAUGUUGCCAUGAUUUAUCCUGCUGUUGGCUAGAUCUGAAGUAUUACCUAUCAAAUCAAUGAUUCUUUCUGUUUUGAGGCCACAUGCAUGUUGAUUCUGUCAACACACUGGGAUCCAUGUAGAUAGAACCAUAAGAAGAGGACUGGUCAUCUGAUCAUUGUAGGCCUUCAACGCCCAUUUAGGAAUUAGAACACACAUAUAUUAUUUGGAUCUCUGGCCAAUGAUUUGAGGAGCUAGCAUCAGAUGAUCUAUCGUGGCGUAGUUCUCGGUGAGUACAACCGCGCUCUACUCUAUCGUAUUUUUCUACUCUAGGCACAACAAUCGUGGGGUCAAUGUGUUGCUUGUUUUGUUUGGGUGUUUUCUCCGUGUGGCACUGGUUGGGAUUCAGAGGAGGUGCGGUGGGGGGCUUUUUCUCCUGUAGGUGAACACUCUGAUCCCUUUUUAUUGGACCAGGUAUGCCAGAUUCUGCUCUUGCAAUCGAGUUUUUGCUACCCUUCAUUUCCUUUAGCUGGAUCACGGGAUCAGUGUGGUUCUAAACUUUGUAUAAACUUUUGGAUUUGUGAGCAAAAUGAGAUGGUGGUUUGAUUACCUCCCAGCCUGUACACCCGCACACACUUAACAGCUCGAUGAGGUGGACGGUGGCGAAUUCAGUAGGAAGAUGAUCCCGGUGGAGGAGAUCCUGACGAUCAACGUGAAGUCGGGGUGGAAGGAGGGCAUGAAGGACACCUUCCCAAAAGGAAUGAUCUUAUUUUGCUGAUGUCCACCUUGGUCAGGUCGGUGCCGGUCGAGCAGGAUAAACCUCCUGGCCAAGCCAGUGGCGUCAGCAAGGCGGACGACUGCAGUGGUGUGGAGGUGCGAUCUGUCAGGUAUCUCACUCUGUUUGUGGUCAACUUUUUUGGUUCAUCAAUUCAAAACAAGCGUGAAGAGGUGAAGAUACUGGCGUGAAGGAACUAUGAGAUGAGAACAUGCUGAGAACAGUUCUAUUGAUGAUCAAUUGACAACUGUAAUUAUAUUCUAAUGCAGUUGCUGCAAGCUUUCUUUUUUAUUUAAUAUCUUUCAUUGCGACAACCUCUAAGAUUUUCAGCCAUCACUUUAUACGUGCUAUAGGGAGCUAAUUCCUGAGUUAUUGGUGUUGUCCCUUUUACUUUUCUACUCAUACAUUGUUGCUAAUUUGGAGUAAGUACAGUAAAUCUACCGACUUGGAGGUCUUUAUUAUGUAGUCGAGUUUCUUCAUGCUUCUACUGACUUUCGUGUUGUCCAUGUUUCUCUUCUAUUUCCAUCAUGGAGAAGAUAAGAUGUUGGUUUGGACAAUAUUCUGAUGCUGGUUAGUUAGAGUAGGAUAUUCUGAUGUUGGUUGAUCGUUUCCAGGCUAAGGUUCACUGGAAAAUAUAUAUUGGAACUACCAGCUAUGAUGCUAGACGAUGCUAAUGGUUUACUCCGUUUGGUGCAAGAUGUGCCAAUCAGGGUGCUUGAUCUACAAGAUGUUGAGGUUGAUGAUACUACAGCGGCUCGAUCAUUGUCUCUUCGUAGGCAUUCGAGCAUGUUUUUGAAAAGGAAAAAGAAUCACGCGAAGCCUAAACAUGACAUGGUUACGGAUGUGUAAUGGACAGCCAUGAGUUCGUUGUUGCCUGUGUUUCCUUGUUGCUAGGGGUGCCUAUGGUCACAGAUAAACCGAACUAAGAAUGACACACUAUAUGUCUAUACCAUAUACUUUCUCAGCUGAA